AAAGCAGACUACCGAUACUUUAGACCACCGGCAAUGCCGGUGCGUGGUAGGUGGGCGUAGUGAUUGGGUAGAAGCUGGGCUGUGAAGUCCAGUGGACCGAUCUAACUAUUGCAGAUCCUGGUGGUAGUAACAGCAUAGCCGGGUGAGAAUCUCGGCGACCGCAAGGGCAAGGGUUUCCCGGCAAUGCGUCGUCAGCCGGGAGUUAGCCGGUCCUAAGAACAACCUCAACAGAGUUGUCCGAAUGGGAAACUGGUUAAUAUUCCAGUGCCUUGAAAGGUCGUUAUCACCUACCCUGUCGCUUCAGGAUAGGGCGAGCAGAACCGUCGUUCUGUCUAAGUACUCGAGUCUUGGGGAGUGCCGUAAUGGCGAGAACCAUGACGAGAUAUGAAUUGGCCCUUCGCAAGGAGGGUUCGCUUGAUUCCAGGAGACAAUGAAAGCAGGGAUAGGAAGAUACUUUCAAGACCGUACCGAGAUCCGACACUGGUGCCCUGGAUUAGAAGUCUAAGGUCUGUCGGGCAUACCGUAAGGCGAGGGAACUCGGCAAAAUAGCUCCGUACCUAUGGUAUAAGGAGUGCCUGCAGCUUUUGCGAGGAGCAGGAGCUGCAGGUCGCAGUGACAAGGGGGUCCCGACUGUUUAAUAAAAACACAGGUGGUCGCAAGUCCGAAAGGAUUAGUAUGGCCUCUGUAUCCUGGCCAGUGGCGGUACCUAAAACCUGGGUUCAACUGGGCUAAGGGCCGCUAAACGCCGGGAGUAACUCUGACUCUCUUAAGGUAGCCAAAUGCCUUGUCGGGUAAGUUCCGACGUGCAUGAAUGGAACAACGAGGGCCCCGCUGUCCCCGCCUGCAGCCCGGUGAAGCCACAUAACGUGGACGAACAGUCCACGAACCUCUGUCGGGGAGAGAAGACCCUGUGGAGCUUUACUGCAGCCUGUUGUUGCUGUAUGGUUGCGAAUGCAGAGAGUAGCUGGGAGCCUUCGAAGUCAGUCCUCCGGGAUUGAUGGAGGCAGCGUUGUAACACCAGCCAUUUGCUACCGUACGGCUAACCCGUUUUACGGGGACAUCGGCAGGUGGGCAGUUCGGCUGGGGCGGCACCCCCUUGAAAAAGUAUCGAGGGGGCCCAAAGAUUGGCUCAAGCGGGACAGAACUCCGCUGUUGAGGGCAAAGCCAGAAGCCAGUCUGACUGGAUCUCCAAUGAUACGAGAUUCAGAGGCGAAAGCCGGGCUUAGCGAUCCAUCAUGUCCCCACUAUUGGGGGCUGGUGGUGACAGAAAAGUUACCCUAGGGAUAACAGGCUCGUCGCGGGCGAGAGCUCCUAUCGACCCCGCGGUUUGGUACCUCGAUGUCGGCUCUUCCCAUCCUGGUUCUGCAGCAGGAGCCAAGGGUGGGGCUGCUCGCCCAUUAAAGGGGAACGUGAGCUGGGUUUAGACCGUCGUGAGACAGGUCGGUCUCUGCCUGACAGGGGCGUGGUUGUCUGAGGGGAAGUUGCCCCUAGUACGAGAGGAACAGGGCAGCGCAGCCUCUGGUUUAUCAGUUGUCCGACAGGGCAAGCUGAGCUGCUAAGCUGUUUAGGAUAACUCCUGAAAGCAUCUAAGGAGGAAACCUUUCCCGAGAAAAGACAGCCUUCCGUAAGGAGAAGGGCGGCCAUAGAAGAUGGCGUUGAUGGGAUGGAGGUGUAAGCAUCAAGCUUCGGCGAGGUGUUCAGCCUGCCAUUCCCAAUAGCCCAACGCACUAAAC
rnacentral:rRNA from 1 species